rnacentral:lncRNA from 1 species
UGGUAGAGGUGCUGGAAGAGGUGCUGGAAGAGGAGGUUUCUCAGCCCCAAGAUGGGCUGCUAGUGCUUCUGCUUCUGGCAAUACUGGAUGGGCUAGUUACUUCAAUGCUAGUGGUAAUAGAUGAGCUAGGUGACAGUAAGGCUGGGUGACAGUAAUGCUAGUGGAUGUUUUGUAAUGCUAGUGGUCUGUUUGAGAACUAUUGUGGUGUUUGAGAACUUUUGUGGUGUUUGGUAAUAUAUGAGCUAGGUGACAGUUAUGCUGAAAUUUUGCUUGUGUACUG